rnacentral:rRNA from 1 species
UGAGGAAUAUUGCGCAAUGGGCGAAAGCCUGACGCAGCGACGCCGCGUGGAGGAUGAAGGUCUUAGGAUCGUAAACUCCUGUUAAGUGGGAAGAAAGCCUUACUUGUAAUAUAUUUAAGGUAUGACGGUACCACUAGAGAAAGCACCGGCUAACUUCGUGCCAGCAGCCGCGGUAAUACGAGGGGUGCUAGCGUUAUUCGGAAUUACUGGGCGUAAAGGGUGUGUAGACGGCAUGUUAAGUCUGUUGUUAAAUCCUCCGGCCUAACCGGGGAAUCGCAAUGGAAACUAGCAAGCUAGAGGGUGAGAGAGAGAAGUGGAAUUCUCGGAGUAGCGGUAAAAUGCGUAGAUAUCGAGAGGAACACCGAUGGCGAAGGCAGCUUCUUGGCUCAUUUCUGACGUUGAGACACGAAAGCGUGGGGAGCAAACAGG